rnacentral:rRNA from 1 species
AUUGAACGCUGGCGGAAUGCUUUACACAUGCAAGUCGAACGGUAGAGGGGGCAACCCCUCGAGAGUGGCGAACGGGUGAGUAAUAUAUCGGAACGUGCCCAGUCGUGGGGGAUAACGUAGCGAAAGUUACGCUAAUACCGCAUACGAUCUAAGGAUGAAAGCGGGGGAUCGCAAGACCUCGCGCGAUUGGAGCGGCCGAUAUCAGAUUAGGUAGUUGGUGGGGUAAAGGCUCACCAAGCCAACGAUCUGUAGCUGGUCUGAGAGGACGACCAGCCACACUGAAACUGAGACACGGUCCAGACUCCUACGGGAGGCAGCAGUGGGGAAUUUUGGACAAUGGACGCAAGUCUGAUCCAACCAUUCCGCGUGCAGGAUGAAGGCCCUCGGGUUGUAAACUGCUUUUGUACGGAACGAAAAGGUUUCCAUUAAUACUGGGAGCUCAUGACGGUACCGUAAGAAUAAGCACCGGCUAACUACGUGCCAGCCGCCGCCGUAA